rnacentral:rRNA from 1 species
UAGUAGGUCCCAAGGGUUGGGCUGUUCGCCCAUUAAAGUGGUACGCGAGCUGGGUUCAGAACGUCGUGAGACAGUUCGGUCCCUAUCCGUCGCAGGCGUAGGAAAUUUGAGAAGACCUGUCCUUAGUACGAGAGGACCGGGAUGGACGUACCUCUGGUGUACCAGUUGUUCUGCCAAGGGCAUGGCUGGGUAGCUAUGUACGGAAUGGAUAAGCGCUGAAAGCAUCUAAGCGCGAAGCCAACUUCAAGAUAAGAUUUCCCACCGCAAGGGUAAGACCCCAGAAAGACUAUCUGGUUGAUAGGUCGAAGGUGUAAGUGCAGCAAUGUAUUUAGCUUAUCGAUACUAAUAGGUCGAGGACUUGACCAA